CACCUCCUCCUCCUCCUCCCGCCGGUCCCGCUCGCCCGGCCGGGCCAAACAGAGAUCUCAGUAGGAAUGUAAAGGAUGAAAAGGAGUUCGGUGACAUCGCACCCCCAAGUUCACCGCUUCUGAAGCUCUGUUGGUUGCUGGGGAGCCAGUGUGCGCCACUUCACCUGCACACACCAGUUCACAGUUGUGGACACAGGCAUCCUGCGCGGAGGAGUCACCCCGCAAAGUGCAAUGUGAUGUCCUGGAGCACGGGUAGAGGUCUGGGGAGUCACCUGGUGCCGCAGAAACAUCUAGAAGCUGGGCAAAGACCUCGGAGAGUGGUUACUCUGGAGAUCCUUACCCUCCGUCGGGCACACGGCUUUUUAAAUCCUGACACGGGCAGCACCGAAAAGCGUCCCUUGGGUGCGUUGGAAGCCAGAGCGCGCGUCAGGGUGCCCCACGGCCUGGAAAGAAGUUUGCUGAAGGUCUCAAGCCAACCCAUCCUCCUCCCGCAGCCACGUGAAGGAAAAUUCUGGAGAUGGGUUCUCCGGGACCGGCAACUAAUUGAAUUCCCUGAAAGAUGCUUUCUUCUCUCCCUAGACUGUGAGUUUCUGUCAACUUCCCUGCCAGUUUCAGGAAGGAGCGCCUUCUAGCCCAGGAAUGUCUCCCUUCUUGGAGAGCAUAUCGCACUGCUGGUCUGCACAUCUCACUUGGCAAUUAAUCACGUACUCCCACACAAGAAUGUUGGCUAUGAAGACUUGGAAAUCUGGAGCGGUUUUUAGUUCUGCCAUUGGCUUGUUUGUAGCAGUAUCAUUAAGGGCAUGGCCUUUAGAACCAGACAGACCUGGGCUUGAAUCCUGACUCUGUCACUUUAUAGCUGUGUGACCUUCGAAAUCAUCUGGGCUUCCCUGGUGGUGCAGUGGUUGAGAGUCCGCCUGCCGACGCAGGGGACACGGGUUCGUGCCCCGGUCCGGGAGGAUCCCACAUGCCGCGGAGCAGCUGGGCCCGUGAGCCAUGGCCGCUGAGCCUGCGCGUCCGGAGCCUGUGCUCCGCAGCGGGAGAGGCCACAACAGCGAGAGGACCGUGUACCGCAAAAAAAAAAAGAAAAAGAAAUCAUCUGUGCGCUGACACUUUGAGACUAUAAAAAGUGAUACCAGAAGAGAGGACAGAGCCAAGAAAAUCACCACAUUGACACCAGCUGCCAGUCUCAUAGCGCAGAGGCACAAGAGACCUGGAGCCAGAUGGAUAUAACCAGCCAAGGCAGAAAGUGCCGCUAUAGCACCUGUCCUGAGACUAGACGCCGCCCUCCUGAUACCUGCGCUUGUGAUAAACAAGGGAUUCAAAAUUACUUACAUAGGUGGCUACAAGGAAAAUAUCUGCCUUUGGUUUCUAUAGACACUACAUAGAAAAAUAUAGCCUGUUCCCUGUUUCCAGGAACAGGGAUUUAUGUUCCUGUCAUUGCUUUUGUGUAUUUUGCCUUGCUCCUUUUUCAUAUUAGGUUAACUAGAGGUUUAAGUAUUUUGUUGAUUUUUCAAAGAACAAGCAUUUGGGAAUGUUUACUA